CGUUGAAGCACCGGUUCUCGUACGAACACCGAAGUUAAGCAACGUUGAGCCUUUCAGUACAUAAAUGGGUGACCGCUUACUAGGUACUGUAGGUUGC